UUGUAAGACCAGAUCUUCUUGUUACAGUAUUGCUCAAUCUCAGAAUCACAUGCUCUGCAGCUUUUGCAACAACCAACGAGAAGACCAACUCCCACAAUUUCUCCCACUUUGAACCUUGUAACAUUUGAACCCACCUCUAGUACCUCACCAACCACUUCAUGCCUUUAACAUACCCGGGAACCAUAGGAUAAUUGGACAUGCCAAGAUCAUUUUUGAUUUGGUGAAGAUCAGAAUGGCAGACUCCACAGUAAUGAAUUUUGAUGUAAACAUCAUCCGGUCCUGUGUUUCUGCAUGUGUAUGUGUAUGGAGUGAGAAUUCCGGAAGGGUCUUUUGCAGCUAAUCCUACUGUUGUUCUCUCUGCCACUUCAAUGCUACCCAUGUUUUUGUGUUCUCUGGUCUCAGAAGCAAAAAAGAGAAAAAGAAAAG
rnacentral:lncRNA from 1 species